rnacentral:rRNA from 1 species
GAUGAACGCUGGCGGCGUGCCUAAUACAUGCUAGUCGAGCGAACGGACGAGAAGCUUGCUUCUCUGAUGUUAGCGGCGGACGGGUGAGUAACACGUGGAUAACCUACCUAUAAGACUGGGAUAACUUCGGGAAACCGGAGCUAAUACCGGAUAAUAUUUUGAACCGCAUGGUUCAAAAGUGAAAGACGGUCUUGCUGUCACUUAUAGAUGGAUCCGCGCUGCAUUAGCUAGUUGGUAAGGUAACGGCUUACCAAGGCAACGAUGCAUAGCCGACCUGAGAGGGUGAUCGGCCACACUGGAACUGAGACACGGUCCAGACUCCUACGGGAGGCAGCAGUAGGGAAUCUUCCGCAAAGGGCGAAAGCCUGACGGAGCAACGCCGCGUGAGUGAUGAAGGUCUUCGGAUCGUAAAACUCUGUUAUUAGGGAAGAACAUAUGUGUAAGUAACUGUGCACAUCUUGACGGUACCUAAUCAGAAAGCCACGGCUAACUACGUG